CACGUAAGCGCGAGAUGCUUACGUGAAAGGAAAUCGCAUCCUUGAGGGAGCGAUUUCCUUCCACGUAAGCAUCUCACGCUUACGUGG
rfam:Gossypium hirsutum cultivar TM-1 chromosome 14, whole genome shotgun sequence